rnacentral:rRNA from 1 species
UGGGGAAUAUUGGGCAAUGGGCGCAAGCCUGACCCAGCCAUGCCGCGUGAGUGAUGAAGGCCUUCGGGUCGUAAAGCUCUGUGGGGAGGGAAGAAACCGGACAUGGAUAACACCCAUGGCUCUUGACGGUACCUCCUUAGCAAGCACCGGCUAACUCCGUGCCAGCAGCCGCGGUAAUACGGAGGGUGCAAACGUUGCUCGGAAUCAUUGGGCGUAAAGCGCACGUAGGCGGCCUGUUAAGUCGGGUGUGAAAGCCCUGGGCUCAACCCAGGAAGUGCACUCGAAACUGUCAGGCUUGAAUAUGGAAGAGGGUCGCGGAAUUCCCGGUGUAGAGGUGAAAUUCGUAGAUAUCGGGAGGAACACCAGUGGCGAAGGCGGCGACCUGGGCCAAUAUUGACGCUGAGGUGCGAAAGCGUGGGGAGCAAACA